rnacentral:lncRNA from 1 species
AUGUCAAACGAUAGUUCAUAUAAUGCAUUAUCAACUCUAAGUUCUAGUAAAAUGGUUAAUAAAUACACAUAUAACACAUCAAAAAAUAAACAGCAAAUAAAUAAUGGUUCUAAACAGGAAAUAUGUUUGGAAAAUAUAUCUUCUUCAAACCUGCUAAGUAAUAAAAAUAUGAAAAAUGGUUUGUAUCAUAACGAGGAGGAAAUAAAACAUCAUAAAAAAACGAUCGAUUUGGAUGUGGUAAAAAAAAAUAUUCAACUAUACAACAAUUUUAUUAAAACGAAUGAAGAAAUGAAACAUAUUCGAAAUGAAUAUAAAUCAAUAAUACAAACUAUUGAUUCUUUUAUUGGUGAUAAUAUAAAUAGUCAAAGGUUAAACAACGUAUUAAAUAUUGAAAACGAUUUAAAAAAUCAUGAAAAUUUAGGAGAAGAUAAAAAAAAUGAAAAAAAAAAUUUUACUACAAAUAAUAGCACUAGUAGUCGUGAUAAUAGUAGUAACAAUGAUGAAUCAAUGAAAAUUAUUGACGAUGUGUCCUCAGAACAUAAAAAUAAAUAUAUUAUAUUAAAAUAUGAUGAAGAUUCAUUAAUAGAGGCAUUAGAAAAAUUAAGAAUAAAUAAACAAAAACGAUUAAAGGAAGAAGAAGAAAGAAAAAAAGCUGAAAAAGAAAAAACUGCAAAAGAAAAAGCAGCAGAAAUAAAAACAAAAAUAGAUAAAGAUAUAUUUUUCAAAUGUAAUAAAAAAGAAUAUUAUGAAAAAGCUAAAUCAAUAUUAAAUCAAAGUAAUUAUAAUAAAAUAUUAAUUGAUAAAUUUAAUGUAGCUUUAUUAUAUUCACAAAUCAAAUGUUUAAUUAAUAAUAAUUGGUUAAAUGAUGAAGUAAUUAAUUUUUAUUUAAGUAUAUUACAAGAAUAUAAUCAAGAUGGUGAAAAACGUAAUCAAUAUAACUUACCCAAAAUUUAUACCUUUAGUACUUUUUUUUUAUCAAUCCUUAAGUAUGAACGGCUCUUAUAA